GGGUUGUGAGGUUAAGCGACUAAGCGUACACGGUGGAUGCCUUGGCAGUCAGAGGCGAUGAAGGACGUGCUAAUCUGCGAUAAGCGUCGGUAAGGUGAUAUGAACCGUUAUAACCGGCGAUUUCCGAAUGGGGAAACCCAGUGUGUUUCGACACACUAUCAUUAACUGAAUCCAUAGGUUAAUGAGGCGAACCGGGGGAACUGAAACAUCUAAGUACCCCGAGGAAAAGAAAUCAACCGAGAUUCCCCCAGUAGCGGCGAGCGAACGGGGAGCAGCCCAGAGCCUGAAUCAGUGUGUGUGUUAGUGGAAGCGUCUGGAAAGGCGCGCGAUACAGGGUGACAGCCCCGUACACAAAAAUGCACAU
rnacentral:rRNA from 1 species